GAAGUAGCUUAACUUGGUAGAGCACUUGGUUUGGGACCAAGGGGUUGCAGGUUCAAAUCCUGUCUUCC
rnacentral:tRNA from 1 species